AUUUCCUAUCACUACCACCACCUUCCAUAAAUUUUUCAGACCAACAAUGUCAGAUAACUGAAUCUAUCUAAUAUUUCUAUAGAUUUCAAACUCAACAAAAUAACAUACUUGAAUUACUCAUACCAUCCAAUAUACCUAAACACCCAUCCCAUACAGAAUAAAGUACUAAUAUAGAAUGAUAACUAGUGAAAUAAAAGAUCUCCUCGUGAGUACAGAAUGAAAAUGAAAAAAUAAGCACUUUUUCAUAGUUGGCGAAUAAGAAAAAGCAACUUUUUGUUUCCAUCGUCAAAAACGCACAUUUUAAGUAUCAGUAAAAGGGUAUGGACAAAAGAUAAAGAUUAAAAAACUAAAAUUUAGUAAACUGUUCACAUAUUCUGCAAGAACGUACCUGGUCUUUGAAUUGAUCAGG